AUCGUGGAAUUCGCCGCAGCGCGCCGGGCCUGGGCGGGGCUGGGGGCGGGUGGCAGGUCUGCAGGGGGCUGCGUUCCCCCGGGGAGCUCGGUUCGGAAGGUGCUUGCUGGGGUCGCAGGGGCUGGGUUCCACCCGGGGCAGCUGGGUCCGCAGGGGGCUGGGUGCCGGGGGUGGAGGUCGGUUCGGAAACUGCUGGUCUGCAGGGGGCUGGGUUCCGAAGUGCUUGGUCCCAGCGGUGCCGGGUUUCAGGGGGUGGAGCUGGGUUCCGAAGGUGUUGGGUCUGCAGGGGACUAGGUUCGACCCGGUGGAGCCCGGUUCCGAAGGUGCUGGUUUGCAGGGGACUGGGUUCGACCCGGUCGGGUUAGGUUCGGAAGGUGCUGGGCCCGCAGGGGGCUGGGUUCGGACCCGGGGGGCUUGGCCCUGAGGGGCGGUGCUAGGUCCGGGCGGGGCGGGAUGGGCGUGGGCAGCAAGACUGGCGGAGGGAAGAACCGGAGCGCGGGAGUCCGCAGGUGCUGACCUCUGCAGCAGGGCCUGUGCCCCCUAGUCGCCUCGCCUGGGUUCCCGCGGGCGUCUGUGGGUCUCUAAGGCAUCCCUUCCAGGGUGAUACCCUUUUUGUGGGAGUCCAAUCAGAGCGAACCUUUUGGGCGGUAAAUUAUCAUGCUGUGGGCGUGUUUCAAAGAUGAGGUUCCUGAAGCCCUCCAGUGUCUGGAGGCAGCCCUGUCCUUGGCUGUCCUGUGUCCUGGGAGUCCCAGCACUGCGGUCCGCCUGCCUCUGCUCUGCGUGCCGGGCUGCCUGGCUCCCUUUGUGCGCAUCCACUCAGAGACUACAUCUUCUGCCAGACAACUUGUAUCUACAGACGCAGGUAGCAGGCUCUGCAAAGUUACAGUAACAGAGGGGAAGAGUCACCGCACCGGCCUUUUUCCUGCAGGGGGAAUGCCAGCUCACCUCUCAGUACACGUGGAGGCCUCAUUAACUUUGCUAGCAAGGUUUCUCAAUUUAAGUGAACAUCACGUGUCAACACGGCUCAGAAGCGUGUCGCUAGGUUCCACAUGCCCUGCGAGUCAUCAGCCACCGUGUCAGCCAAGUUGCCACUGUAAGAGCUUGAUUGCUCAUGAAGCUGUUACCAGGAACAACUUCGCUCCUUCUCUCGUAAAGAUCUAUGCCAUUUGCAAAGCUGCACCGAGCGCAGCACUGUGCUUUGUGUACAAGGCUGUUUGA
rnacentral:lncRNA from 12 species